UACGUAGGUGGCAAGCGUUGUCCGGAUUUACUGGGCGUAAAGAGCGCGCAGGCGGUCGUUCAAGUCGCGUGUGAAAGCCCACGGCUCAACCGUGGAGGGUCAUUGGAAACUGGGGAACUUGAGUGCAGAAGAGGAGAGUGGAAUUCCACGUGUAGCGGUGAAAUGCGUAGAGAUGUGGAGGAACACCAGUGGCGAAGGCGACUCUCUGGUCUGUAACUGACGCUGAGGAGCGAAAGCGUGGGGAGCAAACAGG
rnacentral:rRNA from 1 species